GUGCCAGCAGCCGCGGUAAUACGUAGGGGGCGAGCGUUGUCCGGAAUCAUUGGGCGUAAAGAGCGUGUAGGUGGACUGGAAGGUCUGGUGUGAAAGCCCGGGGCUCAACCCCGGAGGGUCACUGGAAACCAACAGUCUUGAGUCCGGAAGAGGAGAGUGGAAUUCCUGGUGUAGCGGUGGAAUGCGCAGAUAUCAGGAGGAACACCGAUGGCGAAGGCAGCUCUCUGGUACGUGACUGACACUGAGACGCGAAAGCGUGGGGAGCGAACAGGAUUAGAUACCCUGGUAGUCC
rnacentral:rRNA from 1 species